GACGAACGCUGGCGGCGUGCUUAACACAUGCAAGUCGAGCGGUAAGGCCGUGCGGGGUACACGAGCGGCGAACGGGUGAGUAACACGUGCGUGAUCUUCCCUGCACUUCGGGAUAAGCCUGGGAGACUGGGUCUACUACCACAUAUUACCUCCUGUCGCAUGGUGGGUGGUGGCAAGGUUUAUCGGUGCAGGAUGGGCCCGCGGCCUAUCAGCUUGUUGGUGGGGUAAUGGCGUACCAAGGCGACGACUGGUAUCCGACCUGAGAGGGUGACCGGCCACACUGGGACUGAGACACGGCCCAGACUCCUACGGGAGGCAGCAGUGGGGAAUAUUGCACAAUGGGCGAAAGCCUGAUGCAGCGACGCCGCGUGAGGGAUGAAGGCCUUCGGGUUGUAAACCUCUGUCAGCAGAGACGAAGCGGAAGUGACGGUACCUGCAGAAGAAGCACCGGCUAACUACGUG
rnacentral:rRNA from 1 species